rnacentral:rRNA from 1 species
UACGAAGGGUGCAAGCGUUACUCGGAAUUACUGGGCGUAAAGCGUGCGUAGGCGGUUUCUUAAGUCUGCUGUGAAAGCCCCGGGCUCAACCUGGGAAUUGCAGUGGAUACUGGGGAGCUAGAGUGCGGUAGAGGGUAGUGGAAUUCCCGGUGUAGCGGUGAAAUGCGUAGAGAUCGGGAGGAACACCAGUGGCGAAGGCGGCUACCUGGACCAGCACUGACACUGAGGCACGAAAGCGUGGGGAGCAAACAGG